UUGUUUCAGCAACACAUAUACUAAAAUUGGAGCGAUGCAGAAUUUAGCAUGGCCCCUGUGCAAGGACAUGCAAAUUCGUGAAGCGUUCCAUAUUUUU
rnacentral:snRNA from 1 species